AUGGCAUCUCCCAGUGCUUGGGAGGCAAUUCUUAUGGAUGAUGGAUUCCAGCUACGCACAUCACCAAGCGAAGCUGCGCAAACAUCACCCCCUGUGCGUUCCAGUUUAACUGGAACGUUUCAUCAGGGGAAUCAAAGGUUUGUAUAUUGGGGAGUUCAGUGUAUGGCUGUAGGAUUGGUAAGCUUGGCAGUACAUACUGUAAAGAGUGUGUUUUCAUGGGAUAGGGACACACUUGACAAAGUUGUAGUUGAAGGCGACAAGUUGUAUACAUCAUUGCGAAACAGCGGGCGCAUCAGUGCUUCAGCAGAAAUGUUGUCUGUUCCGGAUUUGCCAAAGCAGCACGAUGUUGAAGGGCAGCAUUUCCAGUUUGAGUAUGGUAACGACUUUGUCAGCGGUGUUGUAGAUGUAACAGAGAGUGUGGACAUUGAGGAAGGUAGACAAACAUCUCUGCUAAAAGGGUUGACAGACUUGUUUGCUAGGUAUGACACGUGUUUGUUGACACUGGACAUGUAUUCGUGUGCACUCAUUUCUCAGAGAGGAGAAUAUGCCGUAGUCGAUUCUCAUUCACGCAAUGCAGCAGGUAUGGCAGUCGCUGAGGGUACAAGCUCUGUUGUGUAUUUGAGCUGUCUCAAGGACUUGUAUGAGCACGUGUGUAAGUUGGCGGCAUCACUCAAGGCAAGCCACAAGGCAUUUGAGAUUUCUGGUGUUUCUGUUACACGUCAAGGGGCUAAGCGCAAGAAGACAUGGCCAUAUGCAACAUGGCAGAGAAGUGAUGAUGGCAAAGCAAAGUCACAUGUGACUUUCAGAGAGCUACAGUUUUCCCCCCUCAGUAAAGCAGAUGCAGAUUUGUUAUGUAAACAGUUGCACGUGGAGCUUGACAAUGUCAACGCACCUGUUGCUCCAGCUGUCAGCCCGCUUGGACCUCUAUGUAAGAAUGAGCAGAUAGUGGAUGUGUGUGUCACUGAUGUGUCUUUCAGAGAGCUACAGUUUUCCCCCCUCAGUAAAGCAGUAGCUGAUUCGUUAUGUAAACAGUUGCGCGUGGAGCUUGACAAUGUCAAUGCACCUGUUGCUCCAGCUGUCGGCCCUCUGGGACCUCCGUGUAAGAAGGAGAAGAUAGUGGCUGAUGGUAACUGUUUCUUUAGAGCUGUGUCUUUGGCCGUCAGUGGUACACAGAAACACCACAGGAUAGUUCGCCUGGCUGUUGUUAAGCAGUUGGAAACUAAUGCAGCAGGGUACAGUUUGAGAAGUGGUUAUUCCUCUAUGGCACACUAUAUAGAGAAAACUAAGAUGCGUUGUGUUGACAAGUGGGCAACAGAAGUGGAAAUUCAGGCAGCUGCAGAUUAUUUAGGAAUGCACAUUUUCACUUAUUGUGAGAAUCAAUGGCGUCAAUUUAGCUGUAACAAUGGCAAUAUCCCACAACAAGGGAUCUAUUUGGAUAAUGUUAAUGCUAACCAUUAUGAAGCUGUUUGUGUUUGUAAGCCUCAACUAGACAGCUGUUAUGGUCUCUGCAAAGCUGAGGUUGCAACUUCACAAAGGUACAAUACCAGGCAUAGGAAUGCUGAGACUUCUUCAUUGGCUUCUGCAGCCUGUAAAGGCACAAAUGUUUUUGCUGUGGCGAGCAAGAUUAGUCCUUCAAAGUAUAUGAAAAAGAAUAAGUGUUUACAUAGAAACUUGCUUCAUCAAGAUGGUUUGUUUCGAGAGCAGGAAAGCAGUCGUCUAAUGAGAAAUAUAAUACAGAUGCAAUAUAUAAAACUAAACAAAUUAACAAUGCUAAGAAGAGAUAUAAAGGCAUACCAGCAUACAAGCAGCACAUUAAGACAUAUAGUAGGUGGAAGUAUGAGACAAUUGAGCCACACAGGCAGGAAGUUAAGGAAAAGAGUAAAACAAAGUACAGGGACAAUCCGGAGUUCAAGGUGA
ensembl:lncRNA